GUUGAAGUGGAAUAUUGGGCCUGUGGGAGUCAUAUAGCAUUGGACAUGGUUUGCUGUUGGGGACAUGUGCCAUUGUUAAUGCAAACCUCCCAACAUUUCAAAUGGACAAAGAGGGACACUUUGACACAUCUGCUCCUCUCUUGGAUCUGGAGAAGGCAGAGUAGUUUUGUGUAUUUUGUGAACAAAAGAUUAAAAGUUUAAACAAUAAAGACACAUUUUCACAGCCUUCUUUGUUCAUAUUUACCAAGGCUGCCAAUAUUAGUGGAGGGCACUGGAUAAAGAAACAGGGCAGUAUUGCUUUAAAGGGUAGUUAUAGUGUAACGUAGUUAAAGGGUUAAAGGGAAGACUAUACUGUUUGGGCAGUAUGUCCUAGACAUACCUGAAAUUAGUGGGUUGAGUAAACAUUACAUUUAAAAAAACAAAAAUUCCGAGAAGUGACUGUUCAAGCAUUGCAAAACCAUAGCAUGUGAUGCUCUAUAUUUAUUGUGAUAGUUAGUUUUAACAUUGUUAAAUGUUUUGUAUUUAGUGUGUUUAUGGAUUUUUUUAUAUAAUACAUAUUUGUUAGAUUUACGUCACCUCAGACCUUGAAAAUUUGACUGGAUGCCCAGAACAAACUGUUAGGCAGAAACACAGAAAAAUGUCAUUAUCAUAAAUAGCGGAUUACAUUUUCCAUGAGAUAGCAUAUACGUUUGUGCAAAGCAUUGUUAUGUGUGCCUAAAGCUGGUUCUUGUUUUUAAAC